UACGUAGGGACCAAGCGUUGUUCGGAUUUACUGGGCGUAAAGGGCGCGUAGGCGGCGUGGCAAGUCACUUGUGAAAUCUCCGGGCUUAACUCGGAACGGCCAAGUGAAACUGCCAUGCUAGAGUGCAGAAGGGGCAAUCGGAAUUCUUGGUGUAGCGGUGAAAUGCGUAGAUAUCAAGAGGAACACCUGAGGUGAAGACGGGUUGCUGGGCUGACACUGACGCUGGGGCGCGAAAGCCAGGGGAGCAAACGGG
rnacentral:rRNA from 1 species